rnacentral:lncRNA from 1 species
CCCAUUCUCCUCUCUCUGUUUCUAGUAUUCAUUUGUGGGGUGUCAGCUCAAACGGCUCCCGCCCCUGCCCCCUCUGGCCCCUUGAAUUUCACUGGAAUCCUUGACAAAAAUGGCCAAUACACCUACUUCCUUCAGCUUUUGGCACAGACUCAAGUUGGGAGCCAAGUACAAACUCAACUCAAAACCACCACUGAAGGCUUUACCGUCUUUGCUCCCACAGAUAAUGCCUUCAACAACCUCAAACCUGGUACCGUCAAUAACCUGGACCCACAACAGAAAGUACAACUAGUUCUAUACCACGUUAUUCCCAAAUACUACUCCUUGAACGAUCUCCAAUUUGUUAGCAACCCCGUUAGAACCCAAGCUGGUGAGGAUUUCGGCCUCAACGUAACUGGCCUGAACAACCAGGUUAACGUCUCAAGCGGGGUUGUCGAGACUCAGAUUAACAACGCAUUAUAUCAAAAGAAACCU